rnacentral:rRNA from 1 species
UACGAAGGGUCCAAGCGUUAUCCGGAUUUAUUGGGUUUAAAGGGUGCGUAGGCGGCUUAUUAAGUCAGUGGUGGAAGCCCGUAGCUUAACUACGGAACUGCCAUUGAUACUGAUGAGCUUGAAUAUACUUGAGGUUGGCGGAAUGUGUCAUGUAGCGGUGAAAUGCUUAGAUAUGACACAGAACACCGAUUGCGAAGGCAGCUAGCUAAAGUACAAUUGACGCUGAUGCACGAAAGCGUGGGGAGCAAACAGG